rnacentral:rRNA from 1 species
GUCUGCGGCCAUACCACCCUGAAUGCGCCCAAUUUCAUCUGAUCUCGGAAGCUAAGCAGGGUCGGGCCUGGUUAGCACUUGGAUGGGAGACAAUAAGACAAUAAAAAAAUGUUGUGUACG